GAUGAAGAACGUAGCGAAAUGCGAUACGUAAUGUGAAUUGCAGAAUUCAGUGAAUCAUCGAAUCUUUGAACGCAUAUUGCGCUCUCUGGUAUUCCGGAGAGCAUGCUUGUUUGAGUAUCAGUAAACACCUCAACUUCCAUAUCUUUUUUGAAAUGGGAGUUGGACUUGAGUGAUCCCAACGCUUUUCCUCACCGAAAAGUGGCGGGUUACUUGAAAUGCAGGUGCAGCUGGACUUUUCUCUGAGCUAUAAGCAUAUCUAUUUAGUCUGCCUAAAAACAGAUUAUUACCUUUGCUGCAGCUAACAUAAAGGAGAUUAGUUCUUGUGCUGACUGAUGCAGGAUUCACAAAGACAGGCUUCGGCCGACUUUGUAAACUCGAUCUCAAAUCAAGUAAGACUACCCGCUGAACUUAAGCAUAUCAAUAAGCGGACGA
rnacentral:misc_RNA from 1 species